GGUACGGGGGGCAAGCGUUGUUCGGAAUUACUGGGCGUAAAGGGCUCGUAGGCGGCCAACUAAGUCAGACGUGAAAUCCCUCGGCUUAACCGGGGAACUGCGUCUGAUACUGGAUGGCUUGAGUUUGGGAGAGGGAUGCGGAAUUCCAGGUGUAGCGGUGAAAUGCGUAGAUAUCUGGAGGAACACCGGUGGCGAAGGCGGCAUCCUGGACCAACACUGACGCUGAGUGAGCGAAAGCCAGGGGAGCAAACGGGG
rnacentral:rRNA from 1 species